rnacentral:rRNA from 1 species
AUGAACUAUUGUACAUGCAUAGAAGAGGAAAGAAACAGAGCAUUUACCCGAGGUGAGGAGCACUUGCCGCCGACCUCAAAUCUUGAUGAUGGCAUGUUGACUGAUGGCAAAGAAAAGCCAUUAGAAGUUGCAAGGAACCUUGUCAUGGAAAAGGUUCAGAAGUUCUUCAAGCCCGAACUUCUCAACAGGAUUAGUGAGAUUGUGAUAUUCGAGUCACUUUCCUAUGAACAAAUGAAAGAGGUUGCAAAAUGUCAGAUUAAGAACGUUGUAGCUAGAGUAGCCAAUAAGGGCAUCUCUAUGUCUACAACCGGUGCCUUGUUGGACGUCAUAAUGUCGGAGUCACACAAUCCGAUGUAUGGUGCAAGACCCAUAAGAAGGUGGGUGGAAAGAAAUGUGAUAACAAUGCUCUCUGAGAUGCUAGUCAAAGGUGAGGCUGGUGAAGGUUCAACAAUCUUCAUCGAUGCGACAGAUGACAAUAAGGGGUUGAAAUAUGAAAUGGUGAAGAUGCCGAAUUGGAUGGAGAAGUGUGGAGACUGUGAGGACCGUAUGGCGAGCCUAGCUGGGAUAACAAGGAGCGCACGUAAGGUAGAGCAGAGAAGAGCGGCAUCGAUCGGCAAGGCGGCAGCCACGGAGUUGAUCAGGAAUGGCGGCAAGGUCAUCAUCGCCGACGUGCAGGACGACCUGGUCAUCGGAGUCGGUCGCCGCGGAGCUUGGCCCGGCUGUGGGUUCUAA